rnacentral:rRNA from 1 species
AACGAACGCUGGCGGCAGGCCUAACACAUGCAAGUCGAGCGAACCGCAAGGUUAGCGGCGGACGGGUUAGUAACGCGUGGGAACGUGCCCAAAGGUACGGAAUAGCCUCGGGAAACUGAGAGUAAUACCGUAUGUGCCCGCAAGGGGAAAGAUUUAUCGCCUUUGGAUCGGCCCGCGUUGGAUUAGGUAGUUGGUGGGGUAAUGGCCUACCAAGCCGACGAUCCAUAGCUGGUUUGAGAGGAUGAUCAGCAACACUGGGACUGAGACACGGCCCAGACUCCUACGGGAGGCAGCAGUGGGGAAUCUUAGACAAUGGGGGAAACCCUGAUCUAGCCAUGCCGCGUGAGCGAUGAAGGCCUUAGGGUUGUAAAGCUCUUUCACCGGGGAAGAUAAUGACGGUACCCGGAGAAGAAGCCCCGGCUAACUCCGUGCCAGCCGCCGCAGUAACAC